rnacentral:lncRNA from 1 species
ACGGUCGACUUUUAAGGUAGAUGUUCUCUAUGCUAGUUGAGAUACAAUUAUAUAUGAUAGUUAUACAAUUUCAAAUAUUAUAAAUUUUGUCAAGUUGAAACAAGUACCCUUUCAAAACCAUUUGUUUAGUUUUGAUCUCUUUCGUGGUUUUGCUAUUUAUCCGAUGUAAAAAUAAGCAUUCUUUUAAGUUCUUAAUUAUUUCUCAUAAGCAUUUUUUUUUUUUUUUUGUAAUGAUCCUUGAGGGUUCGAGCUUGUGUCCCUUAUUUCAUUCUAUCUAUAAAACGAAGAUAAAAUUUGUCAAAUUUAAUGUACAUGAAUAUAAGGGUUCAAAUAUCUAACCCUCUAAUCUGAAAACAAAAAUCAUACACCUAUUAUUAACUUCAAGGUAGAGUAAGAUAACAAAUUUUGUAAAGACCUUUAUUUCUUGACGUGAGUUGAAAGAUAAUAAAUAAAAAAAUUGCAUCAAAUGAUGAAAACGUUUUUAAAUGCGCUACUUUUGUAAAUUAGAAGUUACAAAAAUACUAUUUUGGAAGGUGUCCAUAUAAAUAUUAUGAAAAGAGUGUAUAUUUGAAUAAUUAGAAAAGAUGAUGGUCAGAAAAAUAGAACAUAAAAUCUAACGGACCAAAGAGCACAUUAUGGGCACAAUUCUGGCCUUCUUCUUGUUUUCAAGUUCUAGGUGAGCACAAUACAUGUACGAUUUCAUCGAUGAGGUAUGCAAUUUUAUUUGAAUCCCCAAUUUUUCUUUCAAAACCUACUUUUUCCAGAAUCCCAUUUGGUCCCUUCAAUCAUUUCUGUCAAAAAAGAUGGAGAAAGCCAAUAGUGAACGCUCAAACUCGGUUAGAAGACAGAACAAGGGACCUCAAGCUCGACAAACUCGCAACCCAGCUCAAAAAAUUUAGGGUCAUCCUCAAACUCUACGAGCUCAUGAACAAUCGGAAACGCGGCCCUUUCGUCUCCUUACAAAUCAUGUCUCGUUGGAGAAACAUUGUUGGUGUCAGAAUCGGAAUUGGGGAGUUUCUUCAUAAGUACCCCCAUUUGUUCGACUUAUUUCCUCAUCCGGUAAGGAGGAAUUUAUGCUGUAGAAUCACUGGAAAGAUGACUGCCUUGAUGAAACAAGAGGAGAAUGUUAUUAACGAUAUGGAAAUCGAGACUGUACAGCGAUUGAAGAAGUUGCUAAUGAUGUCUGUGAAUGGGACUCUCCAUGUUCAUGCUUUGAGACUAAUCAGCAGGGAAUUGGGGUUGCCUGAUGGGUUUAGAGAAUCGAUUCUUGAGAAGUAUUCUGAUGAUUUUAGAUUGGUUGAUUUGGAGAUUGUUGAAUUGGUUGAGAAACAUAAGAAUGGAGCUAUUGCUGAGGUUGAAAAAUGGAGGGAGAGAGAGUUUAGAGAGAAAUGGCUGAGCGAAUUCGAUGUCAAAUAUGCAUUUCCUAUCAAUUUCCCAACUGGGUUUAUAAUAGAAGGUGGUUUUAGAGAGAAACUGAGGAAUUGGCAGAGGCUUCCAUAUACACAGCCAUAUGAGAAGAGACAAGGCUUUGGUCAUCGUUCUUCUGGGGGGGUUCAGCGCCAUGAGAAGCGAGCUGUGGCUGUACUUCAUGAGCUUUUGAGCUUGACUGUGGAAAAGCUGGUUGACGUGGAGCGACUUGUCCAUUUUAGGCGUGAUUUCGCCAUUGAAGUCAAUAUCCGCGAGCUUCUACUGAAGCACCCAGGAAUAUUCUACAUAUCAACCAAGGGGACCACCCAAAUUGUUUUCCUUAGAGAGGCUUAUGCUAAAGGGUGCUUGGUAGAGCCUAAUCCAAUAUACAUUGUUAGAAGGAAGAUGCAGGACCUUGUUUUGUUGGGUCGCCGACACACGAAGCAGUUGGAAUCAUCCAUGGAAAUCAAGGAGAAUGACAAUGCAACCGAAAAUGGAGACUGGCUAUCUAAAAGUGAAGGAAGUUGGGUCUUGCCAAUACUACAGGGCUUCGAUUGAGGGAUGUGGUUCAAAUAUAUCGUAAAAUUGAUGGUUUGUGCAUUGUUUAAGGGUGAGUGAAGAAGGAACUGUGUUCAUGGUAGAAGCAAAUUGUUUGUCUGAUGAUGUUUGAAUGAAUCCACCCACUCAAGGGGAACAAAGAAACCAGCCUUUAAGGUUAUUUCUUUAAACUUCCAUUAUUCUUUUUUUAAAAAAAAAAAAAAUCUAUUUGAGGCUCUUGAAAAUUUGAAAAUAUAAGCAAUUUCAAAACUAUGUGCUGUAAUUGACUGAAAGCUCAUUUCACCAUUUCAAGAAUCACACUAACUCACUUCGAAUCAUUACUUUGUUUGGUGAUAAAGAAAAUACUUUUUCCUUUGUUGUCAUAUUUUUAUCUAGCUUCCUUCAUACUUCGUUUGAUUAUGUAAAUUAAGUAGAAUGGCAUGAGGUUAUGAAAAUUUGAAACUCUUCUUUUCUCGAGUGAAUGGUAUAAAAGGACUCCAAUACUUAUACUGCAUCCGUUGCUGUCUGCAUUGACUUUAUUUUUACAAUUGAAGCUUCCAGCAUAUUGUUUAUUGUUGCGUUGAACAAUUGUAUUCACUUUAUAUGGAACCCCUUGAUAUAAAAUGAAUCCUCGAAAUGAAGAUGCGUUCUAUUUCUUUAUUCAUUGACUGUUGCUGGUUUGAUUGUUCUAAUGUUUGAGUUUUCAUUGCUGAACCGAUUUAAAUAUGCUCUGUUCUUGUUCUUUUGGCUUAACUAGUUAUGGCCAGAACUUCAGACAUGUUACUCACGUAGCCUUUGUUUCAUAUUUCUUGAUACCUUAAUUUGCUUGUGCUACUAUUUGGGAGCACUUUGCUAAAGUAUUUUUUUUUUUUAAAUGGUUAAAAGCACCCUUUUUUUAAGAAAAAAGCAUUCUUAAAACAUUCUCAAAUGGGGACCCUUUUAAGGUUUUCGUGAUGGAGAAUGGUUGUGUCUUUUGUCCAUGUUAGUUUUAUCUCUACUAACAUAAAUGGUAAAACCAACAGACAACACUGAAGUUCUUGCUGCUGCUUAAGAGCCGGGCUUUAACAACUAUUCUUGUAGGACUCGAGCUUGUAUGAAGCAGCAUACCCAUGGACAAAGCUGGCUGAUCUAAAAAGCAUAUGGAGGUAACCACUCUUCAAAACUGACACUGGUUUCAAAAAUAAAGCAAUCGGGAGACCACAAAUUCGAGACCCUUUUUUUCCUUUUCUUUCUCUGGAUUUGAAACCAAGCACCCAUUAGGAAAAAUAAAAGAAUAUACAAGAACCUACAAAAAAAGGACUCCAAUCCAAAAAAAAUCUAUUAACCUGUCCAUGAAGACACAUUAAACCUCACAGCCACCCAGACCUCCCCAAAAGACUUCUCCAUCCCUCUAAAACUUUUACUGUUCCUCUCAAGUCACACUCUAAAAGAUAGCACAUUGACAAGUCUACCAAAAAACCUCUUCCUUUUAUCUUGAUAGGAGGACAAUGAAUUCGACCCUUUUUAUUUCACCUUUAUUUGAAUGGUAGCAAGUCAUCUCUGGAUUACGAGCUGGAGUGAAGUUUGGAUGCAGAAAGCCAUGUCAAUGAAAAUGAAGUUUGGAUGCAGAAAGCCUAUUGAGGAAUGCAGGUGGACAAAAAGUCUUUUGACACUCCAAGAAAUUUGGUUAUUUUGUUUGAGACAAACGUGGGCAACUGAAUAGAAACAACCAGAAGGAAUAGUGUUGUAUGAUGAAAUGAUGAACUUGUUGAAAAAAGGACUACAAGUUUCUUGAGCCUGCUUCCCUCAAUCAAACCAUCACAUUGUCUUCAAUUCAAGGGAUUUACUAUGAGGAUCAAAGGAAAAGGACAUGCUUCUGUUUUCUUCACUUGCAUUAUGUUUGAUGCUCUUCAGAUUAUAAUAAAGAAGAGGUAUGUGCUGUUCAACUUUAACUGUAUAAGUUUCUUUCUAUGCUAUGGCUUAAUGGUGAAGGGAGCUUUUUAGUUAUAUCUGGUAUGUUUGGAAAUAUUGAUACAAGAAUCUCGUCUUCUUAAAUUUGGUGAUUUUCUAUCCUAUUCUGAUCUCUCCCAUAUGGCUGAAAAUCAAAUCUUUUGUCCUAUUUAUGGUUAGUUGGGAGCUUGAUAUAUGUGGCUUUAGAGGAAUAGAUGCAGAUAUGAGACACGAAUACAACAUGAACACAAUGACCCAUCAUUUUUUAUAAAACCUAGGACACGAAAAAGACACAUUUAUUAAACCCUAAAUUUUCAAAAAUAUAUAUUGUUUUUGUAUCGUAAGAAAAUUCAAAGUGAAUGAGUUGAUGCAUUUAUAUACUUAAAAAUUAGUUCGGUGUAAUUCACACUCAAAAUAUAUUUUAUUGUCAUAUAGGAGUCUUUUUAGUCUACUUAACAAGUGUUCAAUGCAUGUCUAACACAUUUGGCUCUAGAAAUCGUUAUUUGUCCAAUAAAUGGUGGAUAUGAACACACUAGCCAAACUACAAGUAAAAGAAUGUGUGCUUCUCAGUAUGUGAUUUAUACUCAAAGUUGAAAUUAGGGUGCUUUUGUAAAUUUGCAUUGUCUUAUAUGAGAAUGACGGGAUGUACAAUAUUCACUAGUUCAUAUUUGUAUUUAGUAGAUGAAAUCAAGCUUAAGAGUACUUUCGUAAAACCAAAAACUAGAAGAAGAAAGUUCAGGUGAUUAUCCGAUAAAAUUAGUCUUGGUUAACCUGAAAAAAACAAAAUCAAAAGAAGAGAGCAAGGAAUCAUGUCAUCGAUAAUGAUGGACUUGGGUAGGUUAUACAUAAUGGCUCUCUAAUCAAAAGAUAGAUCGUAAAGCUAUGGGUGGGAAAGUUCAUUCAUUCCCUACUGAAGUAAUGAAGUCUUAGAAUGAUAUUUGUUUGUUGUUUGUUUACAAACAAUUGGUUGAAAUCAGAAGCUCAUGGAUAUCUUUUAAUAGGAGAUGAUUGAAAAUCUAAAUAGGAAUCAAAUAUAUUAUUAUCAUAAUAUAUCAUUUCCAUAUUUCAAACUAACUAAAAUGCAUGCAUGGUAUAUUUCUCAACAUUUUCAAAAACACACUUAAAAAUCAGUCUCACUUACAUCAUGUUGUCGUGACUACCAUCGAUCAACUCUAGCUACUACCGUUGGCUGCCACCUACAUCCAAUUCAGCCAACUUUGAUGACCUCUACCUAGAAGUCAACUCAAUCACCGUUGUUUUAAAUUAUUAGUUUAUAUAAUCAUCUUUUAUAAAAAAUUGAAAUUACAGAAAAUACUUUUAGUAUCUAACAAAUUACACAAGUUUUAUUUGAAUAGGAAAGACAAGUUUUAUUUGAAUAGGAAAGAGUUGUCAAAUACAUGAGUGUUCUUAUUUAAAACUUUUUUUCUUUCAAAUCCAUUCAAAUAGAUUGCACAUUCCAUGUAAAUACAAAAAAUAGAAAGUGAUUUCAUUUGAAUUACUUUUUUUAAUACGCAUAUGAAUCAUGCCUAUACUUAAAAAAAAAAAAAGAAUAAGAAUAGUAUGACAUAUGAAUCAUGCCUAUAUUUCAAAAAGAAGAAAAAAAAAGAAUAGUCUGACACAUGCUUUCUUUCCUAGAUUACUAAACUAUGUUCUCCAUCUUAUUUUAAAAUAUAUAAAAGGACAGAUUGAUAAAGUAUUUAGUGAGAAAUAAAUGAACUUAAAGCAUAUGAUAUCAAAUAUUUGACUUUAAUUUAACUUAACUCAUAAAAAGGGGGAAAAAGAAAUUCCAAUUUUCGAAUUUUGAGAAAAAAGAAAGGAAACGAACAAAAGGUAAACGAACAAUGGACAGUCUUACUAGUCAUCAGCUACAUCGGCUUCUGUGAAAAUUCUGCCUGAUUCUCGCCGGCGACAGCUGAAAUAAACAAUCACCAUUUUCCUCCGUUUUAUUAUCUUUAAAAACCUAGUGCUCAGCUCUGUUUUGCAAAACUUCCUCUCCUUCAGUUCUUUUAGCUUUCUCAUCGUCCACGACGGCGAUGGUUCCCUGUGGCCUCACUCUUUCUCUGAAACCUCCUACCCUCUGUACUCGUAUCAGUUUUAAUGGAGGACCCACUUCAGCUUUCGCCCUCCAAGCUCCAAUUCUUGGAACCCUAGUUCAAAUGAAGGGGACUCGUGUUUGUUCUUUUCGCCAUAACCAUCGAUUGGAGUUUAACGAUGUGGGUCGGCGUCAAAGGCAAUGUGGGCCGCUGAGGUUUACGGAUUUUCGGAUUUCAGCAUCCUCUGGUGAUGGCUCUGGCGAUGGGUUUGGGUCUGGAGCUGGCGAUGGUGGAUAUGGAGGUUAUGGUCAUGAAAAUUCUGGAGGCGGUGAAGGGGAUAGUGGCAAAGGCGGGAAUAACUGGUCCUUCUUGUCUUGGUAAUGUAUCUCAGUAUAAUCUAUCUCUUUUUCGUUUGUUAAUUUAAAUAUCCUAAUCUUCGCAUGUAUUUAAGCCUUUAAAUUAGUUAGCGAAGAUGUUUCUAACACUUGCUCAACUGAUAUUUCGGAUUGGCAAUUGUAAUUCACGUAUGUUCCCUUAACAAAUGGAUAAACUUAAGAAGAGAUAAACAAAGGUUGGAUUGUGGGUGAGUGAGGAAAUGUUAAGGAUAUUACAAGCUUGUUCGUAAGUUUAUUUGAGUUUGGUUACAAAUAGAGCAAACGGGAGAGAUUGCCAUUCAAAGGGUUGUAUUCUUCAUUUUCUCUCAAUGAAAUUUGUCUUUUAUCAAAAGAAAAUCUAGUUUAAGUUCCUUCUAUCAUCUAUACUUUCCAAUUCUACCCUAAUAAAUUAGAUAUUUAUACUGUUCCAAUCAGUGCAUUAACGUCCUUCUUGGCGACAGGGUUUCAAAGUGCAGGAAUCUGCAUUUCUUUUCUUAAUAUAAAUCACCUUAUCUAGCCUUCAAUCAUCGAUACAUAACCCGGUGAUGUUUGGUCUUUGGUGAGGUUUCUUGUUUCUAUGUGGGCUUUGGUUUCAUUUUUAUUUUUUUGUAAUUAUUCCUUAGGUGACAUUUUACGUAGUGCGAUCUUUUGUGGGGUCAAUUUUUUGUAUGUCCUUUUAUUCUUUUAUUCUUAUUCUUUUAUUCUUAUUCUUUCUCAGCUAUAGCUGUUUUUUCUGUUGAAAAAAAAUUCAUACAUACUUGCCGAUACUAAAUACUACCCUAAUAGGUAUUUCAUACCAAUCCCUAUCAGGGCACAAUUGUCACCAAUUCCUAGUCAUAGUCAUAGAUAGACUUCUGUGGAUGAGUCGUGAUUGGAAUAUAUUAUGGGAGACUGGUUUUGCAUGAGCCAUGAGGACAACCUCCAAUCGUAAUUGAAUGCAUUUGUUUGCACUCCAUGGUAAAUUCUUUGCCAAAGUUGGACAAAGCCAAAAUUGAAAUUAUACUCAUUUUUGGAAUGACUUCAGAAAAGAUGGUAGUUGAAUGAAGUUUAUCUACCUUCAUCAAUGACAAGGAUGGGAAACUUAAUUGGCAUAGUCUUUCAAUUUACUCCAAAUAAUUGCCUUCUGUUUUUUUCUUCAGUUGGGUUUGGGAAUGGAAUUUUUUUUGGCUGGUGAGGAAUUCUCAUUUGAGAUACGGUUAGGGUUAGAUAUUGGAAAGAUCUCUCAGUUACCAUGAGAUGGGCAAAAAUGCACUCAGCUUCUUUUUUUUGUAUGCGCUUUUUUUAAAUGGAAACAAACUUUUCAUUGAUUUAAUGAAAAGAGAUUGUUGCUCAAAUUACAAGGAGACAUAGUGGUCAUAGAAUUCAUUUGGAAGCUUGUGUGUGUGUCGUUGUGAUUAUAUAUUUAUUACUAUUUAUCUAAUUAUUUUUCAUUUUAAGUAGUACAAAUAAACAAAAAACGAGAAUAUUUUCCCGCAAAAAUCAAACUUCCAAAUGGAGAUUUCUGGACCUUGACCCAAUUCCCCAAAUCAAACAAUGAAGUGGGUCAGAGAUAAAAUAUUUCAGCAUGAUUAGAGGUGGAGAUUGGAUAUCUUAUCCCACCCCAUCUUUCUCCAACACCAUUGCAUUGUCAUGUGUUCACUGUGAAGGCAGAUUGAAAUGCUCAGAAUAGUCCUUUCAGAGUUGAUUGCCGGCCUCCCUAAUUGCAGGAUGAACAAAAUAGUCAUGCUUUACUCUAAGGAUUAUUGGAUGGUUAUGCUAUACUCUAGAUUUCAUCCUUUCCUCUUGCAUAUGAUUGGCAUCAUGGCCCAUCAGAUGAUGGAUGGAUGAUAAGUAUGAGUCUGCUUCAUAAGAGUGAGGUGAUCAGACUUGGAAAUUUUAGAAUACUGCUUUCAGAACACAUUUUCAAGACCAUAAUUUUCCUGUAAAAAAACCAUAUUUUAUCACUAGUGCAAUUAUUCCAAGGACAAAACAUAUCCUGUUUGUUUACUUGUGCUGUGUUUUAACAUUUGUCACUUGUAAUUUUGAGUGUCCUAGUUGCUUUCUAUUUGAUUUUCAGCAGAAUGUCAGUCUGUGAGGUAAUGGUACCUAGUAAGUUGGAAAUUGAUUCAAAAUCUCGUCUUUUCUGAGUUUCCUCUUAGCUUCUAUUUACAAGAUUUAUUUGGAAACAAGUUUUCAACUCCUCAUCUGGUUUUCUUUUUUUUUUUUAUUGUCAAUUUUGUUUGAAGGGGUAAAAACUUAAUUUUUAUUAUUUCAGGUAUUUGACUCUUCUUGCAAAAUAUCCUGCUUUGGUGAAAUCUGUAACAUCUGGGAUACUAAAUGCUCUGGGAGAUUUAAUUUGCCAGGUUUGCCUCCUAAAAUAUUUCUCUUGGAAUCUGUGGACUUUCUAAGUAAUUUUCAAUGUUGGCUUUGUUGAAGAUUUUGUUUAAUUAUUUUCGGAAGUGGUGAUAGACUGAUAGUCAUGAGUUUUUGAGACUCAUGUAGCUUGAUAAAGACGUGUACUCUGAAUUUCACAGCAAAUUAAUGACGGCACUUUCAAAAAUUGUUCAUAAUGAAUAAAAUUCGAGAUGGUGUUAUUAGUUUAAAAUUUGGAUGUGGGAGUAUUAGUUGGAAUACCUGUAAAAUUAUUUUUGCAAACCCACAUUACAAGACGUUGAUUCAAUUAUAUUAAUGGUUGGUUUAAUUACAAGUUAAGUUUUUGAACUUUUAGGUUGUGUCUAAUAGGUCUCCGCCUUCAAAAAAAUGUUUUGUAAAAUAGGUUGUUUAAUUUUCACUUUUGUGUCUAAUAGGUAGUUGAUCUUUAAAAGAUGUAUGGUUAAUAGGUCUUCAAUUUUGUGUAGAAACGCUUUAUAGUCCAGCCAGAUAAACAAAAACUAGAAAGUUCAAACUUCAAGGACUAAAUUUGUUGUUUAACCUAAAUUGUAUUUUCUGCUAACUUACUCUAAUAAAAAAAAAAAAAAGUUCUGUACACUGCCUUGUGCUUCAGCUGCUUAAUAAUUUGUUUCUAUUGUAAUAACUAUUGAACUAAAUGCUUAACAUCUUCACCUAGAUUGUUUUUGAAGAAGCACCAUCAGCAGACCUGAGAAGAACGUUCAGAUUUUCUCUUUUGGGGCUUGUGUUAGUCGGUCCCGCAUUGCAUUUUUGGUAUUCCUUCAAGACCCUUCUUACUUCUCUUACUUCUCUUACAAAUUCAGAGCUAUUUGAUACGUGAUUAGGAAUGAAGACUCAUUUGAAGUUACCUGUUAAAAUCCUGAAGAUGUUACACUAUCUUUUAAAAAAGUCAAAUUGUUGGUUCAACUCUCUUAAGGGUUAAAGCCCAUUUUUAUGUAGGCCAUUGAAUCAUUCAUUCAUGUAAAUGUGAAAUAAACCAAUCUUGUGUUGCUUUGAAUGGAUAAUGCUCAUAGACAUGCCAUACAUCAAUCUGAAACUCAAGAUGAACUGUAAUUUGUAAUCCUUUUUCGAACCAUUUUCAGUUUCUUGAAUCCUUCUAAAGUAAUGUAUGUAAUCGUAUAGGUACUUGUAUCUUAGUCAGUUGGUGACCUUGCCAGGGGCCUCAGGUGCAUUCGUCCGUCUACUUCUCGAUCAGGUAAUUCAUUUCAUUACAAGAGCGAUUACAUGUUCUUAAAAAGUAGUUUAACCUGAAGUACUGUAUCUAAAUGUAAUGUUAACAAUUGCAGUUCAUUUUUACUCCGGUAUUCAUUGGAGUCUUUCUAAGUGGAUUAUUAACACUAGAAGGGCGGCCAUCAGAUAUUAUUCCUAAGCUUCAGCAGGUGCCAUUCAAAACAUUUUCUGCUCCAACAAGAGAACAACUUUUAAUUUAAUGGGCUUUUCAGCCUUAUACUUCAUAGUUCUCUUAUCUUAUUUAUUUUUUUGAUAACUUUUCUUUUUGCCUUUUAGGAGUGGUUUUCUUCUGUUGUUGCUAAUUGGAAACUCUGGAUACCUUUCCAGUUUCUCAAUUUCAGAUUUGUUCCGCAGCAAUUCCAGGUAUGCCUUAUUCCAAUUGUAGCUUCUCUACCAUUUGAUUGAGUUAAUAUUUCAAGUAGUAAUAUAUGUUCUUGUUUAUUAAAACCACUGCAUAAAUGCAUAAAUGCACUGAUGCUAUUUUCUCUAUCUAAAUCAGAAUACACUGCCUUUGUUAAUUUAAUCAUCAUGAACCAAACUAUAGUCAAAGUAGUAAAGUGUAAACAGACAUAUCAUCAAGGUUUUAGAUUCAAAAUAUGGUGGUCUCUUCCUGCUCCUUUUCGGUAUAAGAGUCAGUUUCUUUUGCAUGCUAGUUUUGCAAUUUUUACGGAGUCUUUGGUUUGGUAGAAACAAUAGGAAUUGUAGGGGAAUGAGAAUUCAAGAGGAGGUCGUUUGGUCUUUCACUAGAUUCCAUGUCUCCCUUUGAGUUUUGUUGCAUAAGGAUUUUUACAAUUAUCCUCUAGUCUUAUUUUACUAUAUUAGCUUCCAGUUAUAGGUUGGCUCCUUUUCGUGGGCCCUCUUUCUCUCUCUUCUUUUGAAAAAGGUAAAAAAGUUCUUUAAGGAUCCUGUGGAUGCUAAGUGUUUUAUGAGAUCUCCAAGGAUUCGUCCCUAUGCUAGUCUAAGACUCCACUUAGUUCAAUGGAUUUAUCUUUAGAGUGGAUUUGGCCAUGCUUAUCAUUUUUAACCAUGACUUCCUGCUUCCUCCCUACAAUGUUUUAUUCAGUGUUUUAUUGUACAAACAGUGUUAAAAUCUCAGUAAAACGAUAAAGGAAAAGGUGAAGUAGUAGAGAGAUCAACUUGACAUUCACUGGCUGGGAUUUAUAGAUACACAGUAAAACUGGAUUUCCCAAGAUUUUGCAUAAAUGAUCCCAACAUUUUAAAAUGGGAAACCCUGAUGAGAACCAUCAUUAAAUUUUAUGUUAAUGUACAUGAUAGUCUCUAGACAUUCUGAAAAUCAAAAGAUAAAUGGCGUAACUAUUACAUACAAAUUCUGUAUGACAUAAUUAGUAUCGAAUUAUAUGGUAUGGUGUCUAAAGCUUCGUAUAUGCAAAAUGACUUCAGGUCCUUGCAGCUAAUAUCCUUGCCUUGGCAUGGAAUGUCAUCCUCUCCUUUAAAGCUCACAAAGAGAUCAUUACCCGAUAGGUAAAAAUCUUCACUUGUUAUGGGAUUGGAUCUAUGAUUUUGUAUUACACUCAACAAACAUUUUGGUCAAUCUUGAAUUAAUAAUUGAUCAUUUCUUGCAGAUUAUGUUAUCAGAGGUAGUUCAAAUAACAAUUUUGAUGAAAUAUUAGUUCUUAGUCUCAGCCUCUAAAAAUAUUAUUUAGUUUUGGAACAAAAAUGUGACACAGGCGUGCGAGAUCUAGAUCGAAUGUCAAUUAUUUUGUUUGGUGCCUUGUCUUGAAGUGCUACAUAAAAACAAGGGUAAAAUGGAACAUUAAAGAUACCGAUUUAUCUUCUUUGUUCAAACUUCUCACUUGAAGCUUUUUCUCAUUUACAAAUAUGGAGGAGUCAUUGAGAUGAAACUAAAGACGAAGAUGUACAAGGAUAAGGAUAUGGAUUUUGCGUUUUCAUUUCUAGUAUUUUCUUUUGAUUUAAUACUUCACUUUUAUGAUUUUGUGAACUCUGUAGGAAAUGGGAGCCUUUAAUGUUAGUCCACUUUAUCUCAACUCAUUUUUCAUUCUCUUUCAAUAUUGUGUAUGUGUGUUCAUGUAUAUUAUUUGUAGUAUAUGUUUCAUCUUACUGAAGUUCUAUUUCUUUUCCUGUACCACAUAUCUUCGUGUGACAGUAGUGUUAUGCUCGCUUAAACUACAGCAGUGUUUGUUGCCAACAAAGUUAUGGUCAUGGGAGGGAAAUUAAUGUACAAAUUUUAUUUUAGUUCAAUAAGCUUGAGGAUUAAAGCAAACUAAAAGUAAUUGGUAUCCAAGUCAAUGGAAUUGAACUAAGACAUUCUUGCAAGAUUCCUGGUCAAUAUUGUAUGACGAUGCAACUAUAUGAUAAUUAGCUAUAAUUGAAUUGCUUUAGCCUAGCUUAGCUUCAUUCAACAUCAAGGCAUUUGAAGACAGUAUUUAGUGUAUAUUGAUCUUCAACAAGGCUCUUCAAGACGUUAAUUAGUAUACGCAUGAUGGGUUUGAGAUAUGCACAAAUGGAAGGUGUCUCACUAUUUAAUUCUCUCAUAUGAAGUUCAAAGUCAACUGGAUUAUGAACUUUAAUGCAAGGAAUUCAUGUUGGACAUUUCUUUCUUUUUUGUGAUUCUCAUUGUUAUUAAUAGUCAAAUGAUAACAUCCAAAAGUCAAAAGAGACAUUAUGAGUGAACUUCUCAACAACUCAUUUAUGUCAUCUGUGACACAUCUUAGACUAAUAAAAAACUUCCAACGUGUCAUUUUCAAAUUCAAUUAUGAGUCUAUGAUCGUUGUAAUAUCAAACUUUUGAUUGAUACAAUUUAGAAUAAACAGUAAUGACAAAACAAUUGUACUUCAUUUUAAAAUUAUGUAGUUACUAUAGUAACUUGUUUUGAUUAGACUGUUGUUUUUUUCUAUAUAAUCGUACUUUUGUUAACGAAGUACAACUUUUUCAUUAAAAAAAAACUAUCACACAACUUAUCUAUCUCUCAACGUAUGUUCAUAAUAUCAAACGAGCAAUGAUUAAGUGCAGUCUAGACUACAUCUAAUUUCAUAAUUUCUUUUCUUUAAUAAGUAAAAAAAAUUCUAAAAAUUUACUUUUAAAUGGAGAAAAGGUGACACGUGACAUGACAUAAAAUAAUUAAGUGUUUAGUUAGGGGUGCACAAAAGAUAGUGCUCAUUGUUAGAUGUAGAUGAAUGAUGAAACAAAUUACCUCUUUUGGGACAAACAUUGAUGUUGCCUUUUCCCUUUGUGGUCCUUGAUUUGGAAAUAUAAGAGAUCCCAUUAUUUCAUGAAUAUACCAAUAUAUCAUAUAUUUGUUAUUAUUGAAAUAUACAUGAAUGAAUGAAUAGAUAUCUUAAUCAUUUUAUUGUUAUUUUACCAUCUAUAGUAAAAAACUUUCAUUCAUCCAUUACACCUUCCCCUUUUCCCAACACUUUAAAUUUAAGGAUGAUCAAACUCAAAUCUUAUAACUAUUUGAUAACUUAUUAAGGGAGAGUUUGGAAUAAGUAAGGACUAUAAUAACAUUAUUAUAAAAUCCUCAUUUACAACCGUAUUUUACGUACGCUCAUUAUUCUUUUUAUUCCUUGCUACAAUAAUGUACUAUUUUACCUCUCAAAUACACGCUAUCAUAACACAAACAAAACUAAUCUCCACCUCAAACAAAAAUCAUUAUAACUAAACUAUAAUUAUAACAUUAGACUAUAUUAGCUAAUUCUUUGACUCCAAAUAGUAAAAACUAAAUUAAAUUACAAAUUUAAUCCUACAACUUUGAAUUUAUAGGUUCACCAUCUUUCAAGCUUAGCCCUACAUGUCGAAGAAGAGUUCAAAGCAAAUAAUAGGAGAGUUAAUUGUGCCUCACUGACUAAUUGGCUUGCACAAUCUCAAGCUAGCAUUGAGGUCGAGGCUAAGCUCUCCCUUUUUGGAAGUCCAUCCUCCAUAAAUCACCAAACUUGCUCAAGUGUCUUAAUGUAAGCAUUGUAGUAUGACUAUUCUAACUAUUUUGCAAACAGUGUUUUCUCCUAACUUAAAAGUUUACCGUCGAUCAUUCACCAAGAUCAAAUGUUUUCUCAACUAGAUUUUGUCACCCCACUAUCAAACACACAAAUUUUUUAUAAAUUAAUAAUAUUUCAAAGUUAAAAAGGAAGUAUAUUAAAAUUAUAAAAUAAAUGGAAAGUCGACUUUUCACACACAAUACUUUACAGUAAGAAAUAUUUUUAAGAGAAGAACAAUCGAAAAAGAAUUUCCCUUUUUCUUAAUAAAAUCGAAAAGUAAAUUCUCAUAUAUUAUAUAUAUGACGUAAGGAAAACGCAAGUGUGAUGUCAUGGAGAACAAAAAUUACAAAUAGUCUCCUUCAAGGGUGAUGAGGUGACAGCUCGACAAGGACAGACAAAAAUACACUCGACACGUCAUCUUUCAAAGUGGGCCCAGUUAGCGAAUGAAAUAGAAAAUCUAUACAAAAUUGUAUUGACCGUUGAUUAGGACGAAACGAAGGAUUUCAAAUCUCUCUCUGUCUUAGGUAAGCAGUGACGAUGGGGGUGCAGGAGGGUAAAGCAUGAGGAUGAGGGCAGAGGAUAAGGUAUGAAAACACGUGGCGCAAAAAGAGUAGGCGGUGAGAAAGAAAAGUUGAAAGUCGUGGGUAAGGGUAACCGUCGAGGUCCUAAUCCGUCAAAAAGAAGAAAGGGGUGAGACUGUACAAUCAAGUACACCCUCCGCUAUUUUUGACCCUUUUUUUUUAUUGUUUUCUUUUCACUUUACGUAAAUACCCCUGUGUUCUUGCCAUCAUUUCUUUCCUUUCUUUUUUCUCUUCUUAAUUAUCUCUAUUUAAAUCUUUCAUUUUCCUAAUUGCAUCAAUUAAUUUCUUUUCUUACAUGUAUCUACAUCUCUUCCAAUAGACUACAUUAAUUAGACUUUAUACUUAAAAUUCUAAUCGUUUUAAUUCGAAAAUAGUCUGGUUCAAAUUAAGUUUAUCAAAAUUAAAAUUUUAUUGGAAAAAGAGAAAACAAUAAGUUAAAAAUUUACCAUAUAUAUAUAUAUCAAAACCUUAAACAUAACACUACAGAGUUUAAAGCUUUAUGAAUGUUUGGGGUCUAAACUAAUAAUUUACCAAAAAAACAAUUCAUAAUUUAGUAACUUUCUAUGAUAAAAUUGAAACAUAUUUUAGAGGUAUUUUGAAUUAUAGAGACACGUAAGUGAAAAUAUUUUCAAAUUUUACAAAUAUCUUAAUUAGUACUUUAAACAAUAUCUUUUACACAUUAAGAUUUUAAUAAAUAAUGCAAUUGGGACCAUCGAGUUUAAAAGAAAAGUAAUACAAUAUUAAAUGGUUUCUUUUUUGUUUUGUUAUUUUUAUAAUUAUUAUAGAAAAUCGUUUCGUUUUAUUUUAUCUUAUUGUCUAUAAGGUUUCAAACAAUAUUAAUUAGUUUAUUAUUGUCUCGUUUUCGUUAUAACUUAAAUAAGGUAAAUAAUGCUUCUUAAAUAAAUUUUUUUAUUAAUUCAGUUCUUAUUAUAUAUUUAUAGUUUUAAUUUGUCACCUAGAAGAAUUAUCUAAUAUUUGUCUUAAAAUUUGUUGGUAAAAUUUUCGUUUUAUAAUAUUAAUUUAACGUUAAACUUUAUAAAGCAUUUUAACUUAUAUCACUUAUAUUAUUAUACUCAACUUUAGUCUUAAAAAAUUAUGAUGCUAUUUGAUAACUUAGAUAUAUAUAUGUCUCUUUUCAAUUCUUAAGCUUGACUACAACUUUUUAAAAUUUUAAAUUAACAAAUUGGUACAUUUAUAAAAAAAAAUAUUGAGUUUAAAUUAAUAUAAAUAUAUUUCAAAUUAUAGAGAGUUGAAACUUUCCAAAUUUUGUGACAUAAAUUGAUUGUUUUUCUUUCUUUCAACUUUUAUAAUGGAAAUUGGCAAAAAAAAAAUUCAUAAAUUUUCAUAAAUAAGCUUUUAAGAGAACAUAUUGUUGGGAGAUAUUUUAAAAAAUAAGAAAAUUUAAUUGAAACUCUAAAAAGAACAACUAAAUAUAAUGUCAUAGCACAUAGAUCCUUAAUAAUUUUAUAAAAAUCUCAUUAUAAGUUUUCAAAUUUUAUUUUUCUUAUACGUCUUAAACUUAAUCAUAUCAAACUUUUAUUUUUCAUCUAAUAAAUUUCUAACAUUUUUUUGGUUAAAAUUUGAACUAUCUAUUGGUCAUAACAUUUACUUUUAUUAGGCACUUUUAAAGAUUUUCAUUGACUUAUUUCAAUCCAUUUUAAAAUAAUAAUUUUAUUUAACAAAAAUUUAAAAUUUUAGAAAUGAAAUGUACAAUUUAGCCUUAGAUAUAUAUAUAUAGUAUGUGUGUUGGUGGAUGAUGAAAUAAUUAAAGAGAGGCAGGGAUUUAAAAAUGAGAUAUAAAACAAAAGAAAUGGGUGGGGUAGAUGAAAUUACACUCAUGUGUGUGAUGCCAACCAACAAAAAACCUUACUCUUAUGAUUUGAAGUCACUAAUGAAGCCAAGUUUUGACAUAGUAACAGUAACCACUCUAUUUCUAUUUUCAUUCACCAUAAUUUCCCAUUUAUUUUUUAGAAAAAUCGUAAACGAGUGAAAUGGGAUUGGAGAAUAUAUUCAAUUCCCUAGUUAAAUUGAUAUUGUUAAUCAUGGGAAUAUUAUUAGAAGAUCAAUCUAGUUCUUGUAUUAAUUUCACAUCAAUUUACCUUUAUUUUUGUUUCGGGUUAAAAUAUUUGGAAGGUGAUUGCCAUGUAUGUCGAUAACACAAAGGUAUCGUAUACAUACAUACAUAAUGAAAAUCCGAUUAAUUGAGUUGUAAAGUAAGAGAUAAGGAUAUAAUAUUCCUUUGCUUUUUCUUUUUUUUUUGGUGUAAGAGUGUGUAUUUUAGAAAGAAUCUUACUCUAAUUGGUUUGGAUUGCAAUCCAUUGAAGACUUGAAUUUAGAUUUUUAAAUUUAAUGUAUAAAAAUAAAAUGAAGAUGAAAGGAAGAAGCAAAGAAAAAAAGGAAAAUAAUCAAAAGCAUCAAUCAAUGCGGUGCGUUUUAGGCCCCACGGAAAGCGAUAGACAGCAACACCACCGUUUACUUGGUCAGUCUUCCUUCCAUUCCUUUUCUUCUUUUUUUUAAAAAAUAAAUACUAAUUAUAUUCAAAUGGAGUUUUUUUUUUUUUCGGUAUCCAUCGUUAAUCACAAAUCUUUGGUUCACUCACAUUUUAGUAUGUCAAUUGGAUUAGAAAAAGUAAGGAAAAUGGCAUGUUACCUAUACGUUAUUACAUCUGUCGUCUCUGUCACAGAAAUAUUCCGUCUAAAAAUAGAUUUUUAUAAUAUAAAGUAUAUAAUAAUGAAUUUUGUUAUUAUUUAAUUAAUUGAUUUGAUUUUCUAUGGUAUGGCUGUCCCUUUGCAAACGGUUUGACAUUGACCUUCAACAUGACGCUGCCCAAUGGACCCUUGGUAUGUGUGAUCUCCCAACACACACACAUAUAUCUUUUUACUUUCCUAUUCAUUUCCAUUUAUGUCCCUUUUCUUUCUUUUUAUUUUAAAUUCUUCUCUUCCAAGUUGGGAGCCUUAUAUUUGUAUAUUUCUUAUGUAAAAGAGUUGAAUUAUGUCUAAUUACUAAUAAAAGCUGCAAAACUCGACUUGGUUUAGUAAAAUUUAUAUCUUAAAUUAUCUAAAUAAAAAUAUAAUUGAACCUAAAACAGUACAAUAAAUUAUUGCAUACAUCAAGCAAAAAUGAGUGUUGAAAAGGAAAACACCCAAAAAAUAGACUCGUAAAAGGUUUUCCGUUUUUCCUUUUUCUUAAAUUUAAAAUUGAAAUGGACUAACUUAAAAUCUUGCUAUCCCUAAAAUAUUUAUUAGAAUCUACAUUUUAAAAUAAGGCUUUCAUAAUUCUAUUUUGACCACAAAAAUUUAAAUAUUAAAGAUUAUUUUGGUUUUUAGCAUGAAAUUUGAUAUUGACCCAAUAUUUAUUUUUUUGAAAAAUGAGAGAGAAAAAAAAAUUAAAUGGUUGAGAAUAAUAAUAAUAAAAAUAGGUUGGGAAAAUCAAAAAGCAAAUAGUCAAAGGAUGAGAAGCAAGGCCAUGUGCCUUUGGAAAUGACCAAGGUUGCCCCUUGGACCUCUUCAAACCUUCAAAAACAACAAUUAUAUAAAUAUUUUGCAAUUUCUUUAUUUCUUUAUUUUUAUUUUCUUAAAUUAAUAAAUAAAUAAAGAAAAGAAGAAGUAAUUUGUAGACCAAAGUCAGCCUACACCAACUACCUAACACAUUAGCUACCAAUUUAUUUAAUUUAACUUUUUGACUUUCACUGAACUCAUUUGCACUUGCAAUUAAAUAAUUUAUUAACUCAAUAUCUAUAAUUUAUUCUAACAAAACUUUGUAAUUAGAUCAUUAAUUAAUUAUUACACAAUCUCAUACUACACGAUCUAGUCCUCUUAAAAAAAUCGUUAAUUAAAAUUUUAACUCAAGUUAUCUUUCACGUUUUGAGUCAACUAAAUAUCACGAGAUCAAAUUGUAUUAUACUUACGUUCGACUUGAAGAAUGAUAAUGUAUCGUUCUUAUCUUGAUGAAUUAUUUCUAUAUUAAUUUUUAUCAUCUAUCACAUGGAUUAGUAUUACUUAAAUAUAUGUAUUUUUAUAUUGUAGUAAAAUUAUUUAACAUGUUCCACUCCCAAAAGAAAUGAUAUAUAAUUAAAGAGGAAAAAUUAGAGAUAAUUAAUUUGAUCAAGUGGGGUGUUUUAUGAUAAUUAAUUGUUAAUUAAUUAAAAAGCCCACAAUAUUUUUGGAAAUAUAAAAAGGAAUAAUGGGAAAAUUCUUAAGAGAAUCUCUUUUUGCAUUGGUACGUGACAAAAAGCCAAUAGUUUUGGGAUAAGUUUUUGGCAACUUUUUGAAUUUGACUCAUCUAAUAUAUAUAUUAUAUCAAAUUAGUAUUCAUAUGGUAUUGUCUACAAAAAAUUAAUUAAUUAAUACUCAAAUUAUAGCUUUAAUCUCUUUUCAUCUCUCCACUUCUUCAACUUUAAUAUUAUUUGAUCCUUAUACAUCCUUCAAAUAUUUACUAACAAUUUCAUCAUUUUAAUUUUAGUAUAGUAAAUGCCCUUUUUUGUGAAGUUGGUGGUGGUGGAUGAGUCAAAUAAACCCAAUUUUUUUAGUAGUUUUGGUUUAUUGUUUUAAUUAAUAGUCAAAUACAUUGCUUCACUUAAUUUUGCAUUGCUAUAAAAUUAACUUUUAGUUUUGAUUUCUAAAAAUUAUACUUGUUUUCUCACCAUCACUUCACAUAUUUUCAAUCUUUCCUAAAAAAAAAAUAACAAGCAAUUCAAUUUGUAACAAUUUUUUCUUUUUUAAAAAAAGAACAAAUAUUGGCUAGAGUCUCAACCUUAGGAAGACAAAUCAUAGAUGUAGAGCAUAGCAAUUCACUAUUGAAUACGGUAAGUUUUUCUUACUCUAGUCCAUGUUCAAAAUCUAAUCUAGUGGUCAAUAAAAGGGUAGUUCAAUUCACAUCUAAUAUCACCUCCUACAACCUUGCUCUAUAUUGAUUUAAUUUGUUGAGGAAUUUACUAUUUUCUACUAAUACAAAAACGAAAUGCAUGUAAAGAAACAAUUAUAACUCAAAGACUAUAAAAUAAUAAACUUCCUCCAAUACUAUUGAAUUCUUAUUAAAAACCAACAUCUCAUCAUCCCAUGUUACAAUAAUAUAGCAUUGAGAUGAAGAACUAAGGAUCCAAACUUUAAAAUGGGAGAGUUUAAAAGUAUAUGAUUCCUUUAGAAAACACAAAUGAAAGAUGGAGAUUGAGAGAGAGGGAGUUGGCUUUUUAGGUUCCUCCAAAAAUUACGCUUUAAAGAUAAAAAAGGUUAAAAGAGACAACAUUUGAUUAGACGUUUUUGGAUACAUUCAUUUUUCUUCUUUUAUUUUUUCUCUAGAAGCAAAAAAGCCAAAUGUUUGCUUUUUCCCAUCCAUACUUUUUCAUCUUUCCACUCUUAAAUAUUCUUUAUUUUUGCAUUCAACAAAUCAAUUACUCAUCUAUAUAUGAUAUACAAAUAUGUGUGAUAUACCAUGUUAUAAAAUUUUACUAAAAAUUUCAAAAAUUAUCGGUCUACGACAUGGUGUCAAUUACAAAAUUAUACCCUUAAACAUGUUAAAAUUGGCUAAAUUUUACGAUUUAAUAAUAUAUAAUUAUGAUCCACCCGUCUAUGGUAAAAGGUGAUUUUUUACAAUUGUCUUCUUGUUUUUUUAUUUAAACAAGUAUUUUUGAAUUGCUUUUGUAAUUAUGUGGUUGGAAAUUGGAAUAGGCUAAAAAAAAGUUGAAGUGUUGCUUUUUAUUAUUAUUAAUGGCAUUGACUCAAGUAGUAGUUUUAAAAGAAUGGAUGAGUUGGAGGGGAGAUAGGUACAAAAACAUAUUUGUAAAAUUUGAUUAUUGUGCAAGAAAUUCAAAGAAGGUUAGAUUUUUAAAAAAAGAAUUUAUAUGAUUAUUAUUAUUAUAGAUGUUUAAUACCAUAAUUCAUGAACAUUCAUGAUGACAGUUGAUGAAAACAAGUAUAUAUAUAUAUUAAAAUUAUAGAAUUGGAAUUGCAUAUGCACUCUCUCGUGCUUUACUUUAUGAAGCAACUUUAUGAGAGAGAGAAAAAAACAUUAGUUUGAAAAUAGGAACCAAAACAGUGGAAAUUUCAAAAAGAUUAAUAAAGAGGGAAAAAAAGAAAUAUUACCUCACCAUGGUAUUAUCAAUCGUUUAGAUUUAUUUAUUUAUUUAUGUAUUUAUUUCCCUUAAAAAAGUUGUAUUAUAUAUAUAUAACUUCAAAAAGAUUUUUAUUUUUUAAUAAAAAGAAAUACAUGGACUAUAAUAUAAGAUUUAAUUACACAUGAAUUUGUAUACAAUAAAACUUAAAUUGGAAACAUUCGAGAAGAAUUCAAAAUAGAAGAGGUAUAUAUAAAAUAUAAUAAUGUUUUAAGUUAUACAAACUAACCCCAUUAGAGUGAAUUUAGUCAAAGGGCCAAAUUUUUUAACAUCACCCAAAGCAGCAUAUAUUAGCCAAAUUCGUGCAUACCAAUUACACUUAAAACCUCAUAUACAAUAUAUAGCAUAGUUUGCACAGUUACUAGCACAAUUUGUAUAUCAAGUGGUAUGUGAUCAAAUGUUACCGAGCUUUUGUCCAUUUUCGAGACAAAAAGGCAAAUGCGUUGUAAGAAUAACAAUGAGAACAAAAAUUUAGAAUUCCUUGGAAGGAAAAAAAAAAAGUAGGCAUUGAUAAUUUUACUAUUUUUAGCGUUACAUUACACCACUAAUUUCCAAAAAAGAAAAAAGAAAAAAAAACCUUAUGUCCAUCCCAUCAUCUUACUACCUCAAAAAAAAAAAAAAAAAACUAAAUAUUAAUUUCCAAAAAUAAAAUAAAAUCAAGAAAAAAAGGGAGAAAAUUAUCUAUCCAAUUCCACAAUCAGAUGACAGCCUUCCACGACUCAAGAGUAGGAAAAGACGAAAAUGUAUCAAAAUCCGACCCGAUUGGACCGUGAUUCGGUAACUCUAACUCCAACUCCGACCCAAACGAAACCGGACCCGGUUGAGUAAUUUCCGAUCCACUCCCGGAGCUCUGCUGCUGCUGCUGCUGCUGGUGGUGGGUGUUGUUAAGCAAAAACGCGGAUGUAUCAAGCGUCGGAAGUCCAUCACCGCCGCACACAGAGAAACGAGCACUGACCCUUUGCGGCUCGGGUUUAAGAAUUGGGGGAAUCUGGAUUUGGGAGUUACCAAACCUAACACCCGUGACUUGCUGUACCAUCUGCCGGAAGUUGGCCGGGUCGGCCGUAAUAAACGUUGUAUGAUUCUUGGAAGCUCUAGAUUUGCGCUUGGAGACCUUCCCGCCUGUAGGGGGAAUAGUAGACCUGUGUCGCUUGGAGGAGGGAGGAGGAGGGGGGGUGUCGAGCUCGGGAGCGGCACCAGCGGAGAUACCUGAAACGGUGGGAGUGGGGUCGUUGGAAUCGGGGGAGAUGAGGUCGAGGAAGGAGGAGUGGGGAGUAUCGGAGGAAGGGAGAAGGGAAGAUUGAAGAGCUCUGGUGAGAGAUUGAGUUUCGCGGGAGAAAGGAUCGGAAAGCCAUGGGUCUUGGAAGGUGGAGCGGAAGGACCAAGUGUUAAGAAAGGAGGGGAAAUUAUCAGAGGAAGCCAUAGGAAGGAUGGGAAUUGGAAGGUUGAAGAAGGAAGAAUGGAGUGAUGAGGAAGAAAGGGGGAAAUGGAAGAAGGAGAAUAAAUAGGGCGGUAGUGAAGGGAGAAAACGCGUUGUUUCAAAAGAGAACACGCGUCAGCAUUUCUUUUCUUUUUCUUUUUUUCUUUUUUUUUGUUCCGUACUAUACACACAUCACCAUUAAAAUUGGACCUUUUUAACCCUGCUUUUAAACAUAUCUCCUCUUACUUUUAUUAGUCACAUGUUUAGACAUUGUAAAAAAUAAUCAAAAUAUUUACAAAAAAAUAAAGAACAUUUUUAGAUUUAUAAACAAUACAUAUUCAUAAAUACCCCUAUAUUUUAAUAACGUUGAUAAAAAUAAUAAUAUAUCAAAUCUAAAUUUUUUUAGAUUUUAUAAAUAGUUUGAAUUUUUAUUAAUAUUUUUCUGAAAUAGUUAAAAUUAUUUUUAUUAAAGAUAUAUUUUUAAUCAUUUGAAUUCUAUUAAUAUUUAAUUUUAAAAUUUUAAAAGUACUUUUUAUAUCAUUAAAAAUGGUUUUUUAUGGUUAGAAACAUAUUUAGAGUGGUUUUUAAAAUUAUUUUUCACCAUUUGAAUCACUAACAAAAUAUUAUUACAAUGUUUGUAUCUUCACUAACUAAAAAGAGUUUAAUUCAUGAGAUAAUUUAAGAAAAAAAAUAAUUUUUUACUUUUAGUUUUUCAAAACUUUACUUAAUUUUUUUAAAUAUUAAUAAACAUUAAAUAAUAAACCAAAAAAGGGUGAAAUAUGUAUUUGAAGGUAUAUUUUUCAAAAACUGAAAACACAAUCAUUACUAAAUCAAACCUCAUACUUUAGUAAUAGUUUUAAAAAUAUUAAACUUAUAACACAUUUUAUUGUUUUUAAAGUUUGAUCAAGUCUUUUUUUUAAAGAUAUUAAAUUUAUGAUUAAAAUUUUAAAAUGAUACAAAAAUAAUUUUCAAAGUUAAAAUUCUGGAUGUUCUAGUUCUAUUUAGAUUCUAACAUUUUAGAUUUUUUUUUUUUUUGUAUGUUUGAUAUUUUUUAACCAUAUAAUGAUUGAUUAAUCAAAUCCAUGAAUAUAAAAUAAAAUUAGACAUGUGAAUAGAAAUUUAGUAUCAUGCUAGUAAGUAACAUUAAAAUUUUGAAAUUAAAUAUAAGGGAUGAGAAUUUCAUAACAAUAUUAGAUUACUAAUAUUUAGAUUAUUCAAAUAGCAAUUUAGGAUAUGUGUUUCAUAACAGUUUUUUAAAAGAAAAAAUUAAAUAAAUUUUUGGUUCAAAGAGUUAAAAUAUUUUCUUAUUUUGUAAAAAUUUCAAAAAUAAAAAACCGUAACAAAUGAAUUUAAAAUGUUUAUUAUUUAAUUAUACUUGCAUUAGUGAGAUUUUAUUAGAAAAUAAUAGAUUUAAGAUUAUUCUUUUAAUGAUAUAAUGAUUGAUUAAUGGAAUUCAUGAUUAUAUAGAAGUUUAUAAAUGUGAAUAGAAGUUUAAUAUGAUGCUGCUAAGUAAUGAAAGUAAUUAUAGAAGAAGGGGAAAUUGAGAAUGAGAGUUAGAUUUUAACCAUGGUUGGAUUUUUGUUUGACUCAAUGAGUCAAUUCUAUCUCAAAUUUCCCACGGGGACUUCACCACGCGUACGCCUCCCAUUAAUCAACAUCUCUCUCCCUCAUUUCAUUUCAUUUUCUUAUAAUUUUGUUUCUAAUGUUAAUAAUUAAUAUUCUACUUUUUAAUUUGUAGAAAUAACUAUUGUUGAAUUAUGAUCCUAAAAUAAAAUUAUAUGAAAAUUAGUAGUUAUCUUCAGAAAUAUUCUCUUUUUGUUUUUUACUAUGAUGGUUAGAUCUAGAAAAUUUCUUGAGAUGAUAAAUGACAAAUUGCAUCUAUGGAUUCACAGGGAGGGAUUUAUUAUUGUGCAAUUUGAAAACGUGUCACAUCGUUGUUCAAGGAUGCACCAUGCCACCAAUUACUUUGGUGUAUUGCAAUGUCGCAUUAUGAAGUUUUCCAACCUUAGAUUUUAGUUGGAUCAAUAAAAUAAUAGAAAAUUAGAGGAAUGGGGAAAAUGUUUUAAAUUUUAAUUAUAUUCAUAAAUUGUUAGAUCUUAGAUUAGUUUUGAAUUUGACAUGUUUUAAUUAUUUUAAUAUGGUUAUAUUAAAAAAAGAAAUUUCCUUAUCAAUCAAAUAUAAAGGAGUUCAAAAUUUAGAUUGUGUUUCUAAUGUUUUGUUAUUUUAAAUAGUGUAUUCCAGGCUUUCCAGUGGAGGCCAAAUUUGAUGAAUAAUAUGAAAAUUAUCAUGUUUAAACCAUCCAUUAGAUAGAUUCCAAAACUUGAUCUCAAUUAAAAAGUAAUAAUAAGGCAUGAAAACUUAUAAAAGACCAUGAUGCAAGUUAGUAAAUUUAUUUGAAUUGAUGUUUACUAUCAUUUCAUUUUUUAUUUGUUUACCGACCAGACAUCUACUUGAUUUACAUGAGUCUUAGUCUAUUUGUACAAACAAAUUUAUAGUGUUGUUUGAUUUAGAUUUUGACACAUUAACAACUUAUAUCUUUACGAGGUACUUUGCCUUGAUUAUCAUCAUGUACGAAGAAUUUUGAUAACAAGAACAAAACAAUAUUAAAAAGUUAGAAAUAUGUUACUCAUUUGAUGUUUUGACAUCGUCUUAAGUUUUUGUUUAACAUGGAAAGAUAUAUAUCUUCUCAAAAAGUAGUCUCUCAUUAUCGUAAUUGAUGGAAAAAACUAGGUUGUAAUUGUUUUUCUUUUUAUCUUUUUCGUUGGUUUGAUUAGAAAAUAUAUUUGUUACACGUUUCUUCGAAUUGGUAACCCCAUAUAUCCAACACAAUUUAAGUCAUUUUUUGUAAUUUAAAUAUAAAUUUAUUGUUAUUGUACUUAAAUUGAAUAAAUUAUUUAAUUCUUAGUUAAAGUUAAAAGUAUUAUAAAUAUUUAUUCGUUGUAUUGAUUUGUAUACUACAUAACAAAUAAAUAUGAAUUUUGCCUAAUACAAUUUACAUACACGAGAGAAAACUACUACCAUGUAUGAAGACAAUAUACUCUCUUUAAAUAGAGUGGUACAAGACCUAAUUUUGACUGUAACACUAAAAUAAAAAUGCUUAGAAUACACCAAUCAAUCAAUAUAAUGGUAAACAUUCGAAUUAAGACAAUUAGUUAAUUGAGUAUUUCAACAUGUAUCACUCAAUUGGUCAAAUCUAUGAUAAUUUGCUAGUUGUAUUAUGAAUGAUAUUGUGGAAAAUGCAUGCACAAUACUUAAGUUGAUAAUUGACCAAACCUCUCGUAUAUUACAUUUCUCAUUUUUUUAUGUUUUGUAAAAAAUAGUAAUAUAUUCACUCGUUAGACAAGUUUUAAAAUGUUGACAUCGAUGUAAAUACUGAGAUCUUAAUCUCUUACAAUGGCGUUAAAAAUAUCUAAAUAAAAGUAAUAAAUAAAUCAUUUUUGAUCUCAAACAAAGUUCACGUAUUUAUUAUUUAUAGUAUAUAUUUACAUUGGCAACAUUUUAUUGCUGUGCUCUAUAGUAAAAUUAUGAAUGUACUCUUGAUAUAUAAAGACAUUAAUCCAUACAAAUAUAAAAAUACUGAGGCAUGAACAGUAUGGUUACGUGGGAAAAAAGAAAUUAGAGUGAGGAGUUAAAAGUUCGAUCGUAAAAAGAGGAGUGAUGUGAUGAGACUGAGGAUUGAUGGAAUUCAUGGAUGCUAUCUUCCUAAAAAUACCCUAAAUCUAUUAUCUAUCAACGAACCUUCCUUCCUGUUUCCUCAAAAGAAGAAAAGAAAAAGAGAGAAAAAAUCAGAUUCUCUUCCCUUUUGCUCUUAUCUUCAAACUUUCAAUUUAUUUAUUUAUUUUUUCUUCCAUUGCUUCUGUGUAUAAUAUACUCUUCUCUUAGUUUUGUAGUGUAAUGGAGUUGGGAUGAUCUUGGAUGAUAACUUGAUCAGGAUAUAUACCUUAUAUAUUGUCUCAAAGAAAUAAAGACAUUGAUCAUAUUCUUCUUAGCAAAACUGAAAAUAGGUUAAUAGUAAUAUAGAUGCAUUGUCUGACUGGGAAGCACUAAAAUAUUUGAUAAGCAUUUGAAGUAUUGAUAAAACUGAGUGAAAAGGCUUUUGCCAACAUUCUAGAAUUAUUUAUUUUAAUUUAUUUAGUAAAGAGCCCAGCCAUGACGUGGCUGCAUACGGUAGGGUGAUGAAAAUGUGACGUAAUUCAGUAAUAAUAAUAAUAAUGAUAAUUAAAAGAUAAAAAUAGAAAAAUAAUGUUAAUGUUGUACAGAUAAGAUUUGAUGUGAUGUGUGAUGCUGAUUCAUUUAAUUUAAUUUCUCUCUAUUUCAUUUCAUCUCUCCUAGAUAUUUAUUUCAUUUCUUUCUUUUCUUUAGAGAAUCAGUUAAAUAAAACUAAGAAUUUAAAUGUUUUCUUUCAAGGAAAAUAAUAAGACACCAUAUAUAAUGAAUUUGAAGAGAAAUCGACGUCAAAUUAAAAUUAAAUGAGGCCUUAAUUUUAUUUUCCCUACAAUUUGAUGAAGAAGAAUUUAUGAAAACUGUACCAAGCAGAUUGGGAGAAAGUAAUUGUCACAAAAUUCAGAACAAAAAACAUUUAUCUUUUUUUCUUUUUGGUAUAUGGUUUUAAAAAACAUGAGAUGAAGCAAGAAAAUGACAAGUGAAAGUAUUGUAAAGAGGUAAUUCAAUCCUAUCAUUUUCCAUUUCUUAAAACGAUUUGUAUUUUUCUCAUUAAUUACAUUUUUAGUCAAACUCUACAAAAGGAAUCAUCUAGUUUUCAAAAUUUUAUUAUAACAAAUAAAAAUUUACCAAAUGGAAUUGAAAUGUUUUGAUUUUUUGGUUUAAAUGGUUUAUAAAUAACAUCAAUCAUGGGUGCAUUUUUUUUGCAUCUAUAAUAUAUAAUUAAAAAACAAUCUCAUAACCAUUUUAUUUUUAAAAGAUAGAACUUACAAAUAUCACAAUUUGGAUUAAGCAAACAAAAAAAGAAGUAAUAAUUUGAAAAUCAAUAAAGAAAACCCAGCUCAUGGAAUGGGGCCUUAAUUACAAAAGUUCAUCUCUUUUCAUUUGUUUAUUAUUUAGUUGACAAAAGAUAAUAAAAAUUAUUCCAAGUAAUUAAUAAUAAGAAAAGCACGUGAGUAACCACAUCAAUAUAGUUAGAAACAUUUUGAAUCUUAAACCAAAAAUUAAAAGAAACAUUAUUUACUUUAAUAUAUGAAGAAAAAAAAGAAAAAAACUUUCCAUUUUCAUACUUGGGAUGGGUCCAAUGAUGAACCCAAAAAGUAAAAUAAAAAGAGAGAGAAUUUUAUUUUAAUGAGAAAAAUUUAGCAGUAAAAAAGGUGGAAAAGGGGGGAAAUAAAAUCAAUAGAAAAAGGUAAUAAUUAUAUUGAAGGAUAAAUUUGACUUUAAGCAUGAGCAGCCGCACGUGCGAUGGACCCUACUUAUUUUUCUUUUUGUUUUCCUUUGGGGUUUUCGAAAAAAUAGGGUUAUAAAAAGAGGUUUGUGUGAAAUGACAAUAUUAAUUAAUGAGGGAUUUGCGGCCUUACACUCACAUUUUUUGUCUCCAAAUUUCACUUCUCCUCGCUUCUAAUCAUAAUUAUCAACGUUUUAUCAUCUCAAUUAAUACUUCCAAACCAAUGUUCAAGUAUUAACUAUAACUUUGUGAAUACAUAAGAAAGUUCAAAUAUAUAUAUAUAUAUAGACCCAAGUAAUUAACAAGCUUAGUUUAGUUUAAUUUUUUUUCCCAAAACAAUAUUGUUCAAAUAAUUACUAAAAAUCAUGUGUUUUUUUUUCCUUCAAAAUAAUAUAUUGAAAAUGCGUUAAAAUUGCAAAGAUUGUGAACAACACUAAUUUCUCCACUCCUUGUAAUUUCUAAAUAAAGUAAAGAAUAUAAUUAUCAUUUGAAAACACAAUGUACCAUAUUUGCAUGGUUAUAAUAAAUAAUCAAAACGAUCUUACGUUUACUUCUCAUGAUUACGAUAGGCCUUCAUGAGCUUCAACUUAAAACCCACAUUUUUAGUUUGGUCACAAAAAUAAAUAUACUUACUUUCCCGGCCCUACCCCUCCGUCUACCCCUUUGAGAUAAUCAAAAUGUGGCUAUAUUUAUACCAUACCCAUCUUUUACUGCAUCUUUUGAUUGAUAUAUAUGUAAGCUGAUGAGUGGUUGGAGGAGUUGAUAUAAUUUUGAUGAUGGUUUCCAAAAUUAAAUGUUUUCAUACUGUGAAAAAAUGGGAUCCGAAUCCCAUGGGUUUGAGUUCAAUGGUUGACCUAAAGCAAAACAAAACAAAAGAAAAGACACAUAAAAGGAAAAAAGAAAGAAAGAAAGAAAGAAACAGAAAGAUAUGUAGAAUAAAUGAAAAGAAGUAGUUGGGAAGGAAGAAAGGGGCCGCGUGUCUCACAAUGGGGUUCUUCUCUAAUUUGAACACCUUCCUUCUUUGUCAAACCGUUUUUAAGAUCUCUUUUGUUUUCUUUUCUUGUUCUAUCAAUUCAUAGAUUAUGAUAACAAUUAUAAUAAUAAUGUGUCACACAAUAACUUGGCAACUUAGACCUAACUAUUAUUUUCCACUCAUAUCUCAUAUGCCUAUGUGUCACCUAACUAUUUUAUCUAAUAAAUGAAUUCUCUUUUUUAUCCUAACUAGUUGCUAACCACUCCUUCAUUUCAAACUAAAAACUUAAAUCACAUGUUUAUCUCAACUACAACAAUAUACCUCUGUUGUUGAAACUAAAAGCAGAAGAAUACUGAAGUUUGAUUCAAACUACAUGAUUAUCACUUUCACUUUCAUUGUGAAAUAAAAUUAUAGAGCGGUUUGUUAUAUAUCCUGAAGGAGAUUGAAUGUAUAUCUCUUUACAUUAUUUGUUGAAGAAAUGAGAGACUAAAAGGAUGUAACAAUUUUUUCAGAUAUAGUUUUCACUUUCAAAGUUGCGUAUACUUAAUUAUACUAUAUGAUAUGGAGUUGUUACUAGGAUGACAAUAAUUUAGAUCGUGUUAAUAAUGUAGAUGUUUAACUAAUACGGGUAUUGCAUUAAUCGUUCGAGAUUGACUAAAGUUCCAAAGCAGAGGUACGUGGUUGAUUUUGGCAUAGUGAUAAGGUAAAUGCAGAGUCCCUUAAGAAAAAAACUACAUGGGAAAGGGAAAGUGAUUGGUUAGGGUAUAAUAAAGUGUGAAAUUAAUUUGAUGUGACAAUAAAAAAAAGAUUUGUGUGAGGAAUUACUUCAAACAUAUAUAGUCUUUUGUUCGUAUAAUUAUUGACUUCGAGAUUAGAUGUUCCACAGUUGCAUUGUCAAAAGUCGACAUCAAUUGAAAUGAAUUUUUCCCUUAAAUUUGAACAACAUAAAUUCACACAUUUGUGUAGAACAAUGUUUGGGCCUUGAAGCCCAAUGAUUGUCCCUUUUAAAGUAGUUCACGAUCCAAACAUAGUGAAGUAAUUAACGAGCUUGGAACUCCGAUAUGGACCUUGAUAGAGACUAAAACCAACUUUUAGGUUUGGACCAAGCAAGAGCCCACUUAGGCCCAAAGAAUGGUAAUUUGAAACAACAUUAUUAGCUAGCUACUAACAAUGUCAAUCUGCAUUUAUCGUCACAUAAACUUAUCAUAUAUAUAUGUCCAUGAGUUUCCAUCCCUAACUCAUCCUAUCGUUAUAAAAAAUAUUUGUCAUAAUUAAAAAAAAAAAAUUGAAACCAUUAUCUUAAAAAAGAACUUUCAAAUUCAAUAUUAAUUUGAUGGCAAUCUCCAUCUUGUUUAAUGUCCCUUUUAAAUGAUAAAAUAUGGCUUGCUUAUCAAGAUAUAUGAACAUGUUUGAUUCAUUAAUUUUGCUUUCAAUAUCAAUUUAUGAUUUGAGUAGUAUUGUUUAUUACUAUUAUUUAAUGUUGUCACGUAGUUAUGUAUUUGAUGGAAGUGUACGUAAUUAAUUAUAUGCACCAUGAUAAAAAUUUAACGUUGAAAGUAUUCACAACUUAACUCAUGUGUUUGCUCUUAAGUUUAAUUAACAAAUUUUAAUUUGCUACAUAUUUUUUUUUCUUUUUUGUUAAUUUUGACUUCUUCCCUUCUUAAAAUGCUACAUCUUUUUAAGCUUUAAUUUAAUUUGUUAGAAACUACAAAAAAAAGAAUUAUGUAGGAUGGGAACAUUUUCGAUCACAUGUAACUACAAAACUAUAUAAUAGUAAAGCAAAAAGGUAUUAUAGAAUACCUAACAAUAAUAUUAAAUUGGUUAACCCUUUUUCUUUUUCAUCUUCUUCUUCUUCUUCACCUACUAGGUUUCGAACCCAUAAGCUAAGGGAUUGGAUCAAAUUUCAACCCAAACUCUUAAACCAUUAGGCUACGAAACUGUUGGGUGAUCUCAUUACACAAAUUUAUCACUAUAUAUAUAUAUAUGCUUAAUUAAUUAGAUCAAGAUCAUGACAAACUUUGAAGUAGAAGAAUUUAAAAGGUAUUUUGAAAUACCUAAAUAUUUCUUAGCCGAUCUCAUCUCAAUUUCUCAUCCUUCUCUCUCUACCUACUAGGACUCGAACUUGCAACCAUAGGGUCAGCCAUUGUUUCUCAAGGCCAUCCUCUACGCCACACCGCUACAAGACCGUUCGGUG